rnacentral:rRNA from 1 species
UGGGGAAUAUUGGACAAUGGGCGCAAGCCUGAUCCAGCCAUGCCGCGUGAGUGAUGAAGGCCCUAGGGUUGUAAAGCUCUUUCACCGGUGAAGAUAAUGACGGUAACCGGAGAAGAAGCCCCGGCUAACUUCGUGCCAGCAGCCGCGGUAAUACGAAGGGGGCUAGCGUUGUUCGGAUUUACUGGGCGUAAAGCGCACGUAGGCGGACUAUUAAGUCAGGGGUGAAAUCCCGGGGCUCAACCCCGGAACUGCCUUAGAUACUGGUAGUCUUGAGUUCGGGAGAGGUGAGUGGAAUUCCGAGUGUAGAGGUGAAAUGCGUAGAUAUUCGGAGGAACACCAGUGGCGAAGGCGGCUCACUGGCUCGAUACUGACGCUGAGGUGCGAAAGCGUGGGGAGCAAACAGG